AUUGAACGCUGGCGGCAGGCUUAACACAUGCAAGUCGAACGAGUGGCGGACGGGUGAGUAAUGUCUGGGAAACUGCCUGAUGGAGGGGGAUAACUACGGGAAACUGUAGCUAAUACCGCGUACCAUAGGAUGAGCCCAAGUUGGAUUAGGUGGUUGGUGGGGUAAAGGCUCACCAAGCCGACGAUCCCUAGCUGGUCUGAGAGGAUGACCAGACACACUGGGACUGAGACACGGCCCAGACUCCUACGGGAGGCAGCAGUGGGGAAUAUUGCACAAUGGGGGCAACCCUGAAGCAGCCAUGCCGCUUGAAUGAAGAAGGCCUUCGGGUUGUAAAGUUCUUUCGGUGGCGAGGCGUUAACUACAGAAGAAGCACCGGCUAACUCCGUGCCAGCAGCCGCGGUAAUAC
rnacentral:rRNA from 1 species